rnacentral:rRNA from 1 species
GACGAACGCUGGCGGCGUGCUUAACACAUGCAAGUCGAACGGAAAGGCCCUGCUUUUGUGGGGUGCUCGAGUGGCGAACGGGUGAGUAACACGUGAGUAACCUGCCCUUGACUUUGGGAUAACUUCAGGAAACUGGGGCUAAUACCGGAUAGGAGCUCCUGCUGCAUGGUGGGGGUUGGAAAGUUUCGGCGGUUGGGGAUGGACUCGCGGCUUAUCAGCUUGUUGGUGGGGUAGUGGCUUACCAAGGCUUUGACGGGUAGCCGGCCUGAGAGGGUGACCGGCCACAUUGGGACUGAGAUACGGCCCAGACUCCUACGGGAGGCAGCAGUGGGGAAUAUUGCACAAGGGGCGGAAGCCUGAUGCAGCAACGCCGCGUGCGGGAGGACGGCCUUCGGGUGGUAAACCGCUUUCGCCUGUGACGAAGCGUGAGUGACGGUAAUGGGUAAAGAAGCACCGGCUAACUACGU